CCUACGGGUGGCAGCAGUGAGGAAUAUUGGUCAAUGGACGAGAGUCUGAACCAGCCAAGUCGCGUGAAGGAUGACUGCCCUAUGGGUUGUAAACUUCUUUUAUAAAGGAAUAAAACGAGGCACGUGUGCCUUUUUGCAUGUACUUUAUGAAUAAGGCUCGGCUAACUCCGUGCCAGCAGCCGCGGUAAUACGGAGGAUCCGAGCGUUAUCCGGAUUUAUUGGGUUUAAAGGGAGCGUAGAUGGGUUGUUAAGUCAGGUGUGAAAGGUUGCGGCUCAACCGUAAAAUUGCAAUUGAUACUGGCAGUCUUGAGUACAGUUGAGGUAGGCGGAAUUCGUGGUGUAGCGGUGAAAUGCUUAGAUAUCACGAAGAACCCCGAUGGCGAAGGCAGCUUACUAAACUGUGACUGACAUUGAUGCUCGAAAGUGUGGGUAUCAAACAGGAUUAGAUACCCUUGUAGUC
rnacentral:rRNA from 1 species